GCCCGGGUGGUCUAGUGGUAUGAUUCGCGCUUAGGGUCCACACCUGAGCAUUACCUGCGCGAGGUCCCCGGUUCAAUCCCGGGCUCGGGCC